rnacentral:lncRNA from 1 species
GUCGAGCUCUCACGAUGGCUCGGCUCUGCUCAGUCCAACAACCUCUCGAGCCAUCUGGGGCCUCGGAGCCUCUUUAGUGCGGAAGUUCGGGCCGUAGGCGGCGGGUGAGCAGAAACUCUGGAUGGACCCUUCCUCAGAAGCUUUGCUAAUUUGCAGAAGCUGGGCAAUGCACCUCAUUAACAUCUGUCUGUCAGCAUAGUCCAACGUCCUUUCACUGUGGUAAGGUGUUUGCCUUCACCGAGGUUUGACUUCGUCUUGUCACUUGUUAAGGUGAGCCAGACAGUGGAUACUGGCGAACCAGUGGACUUUAUCCUUUUGGGGGUGUGUUUGUCGCCCAUUGGUUCUAGUGUGUGUCUGUUUCAAUGCCAUGUCUGUCA